GCACUGCUGAGGAGUCCCAUAAUAGGAUGAAAGAGCUGUCCAGUGC
rnacentral:hammerhead_ribozyme from 1 species